GAUGAAGAACGUAGUGAAAUGCGAUAAGUAGUGUGAAUUGCAGAAUUCAGUGAAUCAUCGAAUCUUUGAACGCACAUUGCGCCCCUUGGUAUUCCAUGGGGCAUGCCUGUUCGAGCGUCAUUUGUACCUUCAAGCUCUGCUUGGUAUUGGGUGCUUGUCCCGCCUCUCGCGCGGCGACUCACCUCAAAGUCAUUGGCAGCCCGCAUCUCGCCGGCCGUGAGCGCAGCACAGACGCGCUCUUGGCAACGACGGAUCGGCUCUCCAAAAGCUUAUUUCAACCACUGACCUCGGAUCAGGUAGGGAUACCCGCUGAACUUAAGCAUAUCAAUAAGCGGAGGA
rnacentral:misc_RNA from 1 species